GUAGGUGGCAAGCGUUGUCCGGAAUUAUUGGGCGUAAAGCGCGCGCAGGCGGUUCUUUAAGUCUGAUGGUGAAACGCCCACGGCUCAACCGUGGAGGGUCAUUGGAAACUGGAGAACUUGAGUACAGAAGAGGAAAGCGGAAUUCCACGUGUAGCGGUGAAAUGCGUAGAGAUGUGGAGGAACACCAGUGGCGAAGGCGGCUUUCUGGUCUGUAACUGACGCUGAGGCGCGAAAGCGUGGGGAGCAAACAGGGAUUAGAUACCCUGGUAGUCCACGCCGUAAACGAUGAGUGCUAAGUGUUAGGGGGGGUUUCCGCCCCCUUAGUGCUGCAGCUAACGCAUUAAGCACUCCGCCUGGGGAUACGGCCGCUAGGCUG
rnacentral:rRNA from 1 species